AACACUAGAUCGAUAACAUCGACAGCAGAGCUGUAUCCCGCACAGUGACCAACAAAGCUGUCCAGCGAAUGGAUGCCACUUUCUUCAUAGGUCUAAUGGACAACGUACGUUGAAGCGCUACAAACAUAUGCAAGAUGAAAUGACAAUGACAAUCGUACAUGAUCUUAUUUGCUGAGUGAAAUUAGUUUUGGUAAAAGAAUCAAACAUUGUUGAACUUGUGGAUAGUAAUGUCAUGUGUAUAAAUAAUGAAAGUGGUUAAAGGAAUUCAGUAUAUUUCUAUAUUGUGUUUUCUACUUACAAGUCUAUACAUCAUCCUAGACAAGCACGUUUUUUUAGAAACACGACCCCUAGUAUACUCAACUGGGCUAACAAAAGCACAACACAAUUCCACGAUCAAUAGGACUACUGACAGACUUGAUGGUGAAGGCACAAAUAGUUCUAAUGGGUCUAGGCCUAUUCCACCUACGCGUGUAUCGAUGGUAUUGACAUUGAAUGAGAGUGCGCGUCUGCAAACGUCAACUCCGUUAGAUGAUGUUCGAACUUCAUACGUUAAAUUGAGAGAUAAGGACACCUGUCUGGCGGGAUUCGAACGCAACACCUGGCUGUCAAGACGGGUAUCAUACCGUACCGUUUAGACCACAGAGAUCUACAGGAUAUACAUGCAGUUCUACUCCACACACACUUUAC